GUGAAGGUGUGUCGUGAGGCAUGCUGGAGGUAUCAGAAGUGCGAAUGCUGACAUAAGUAACGAUAAAGCGGGUGAAAAGCCCGCUCGCCGGAAGACCAAGGGUUCCUGUCCAACGUUAAUCGGGGCAGGGUGAGUCGACCCCUAAGGCGAGGCCGAAAGGCGUAGUCGAUGGGAAACGGGUUAAUAUUCCCGUACUUGGUGUUACUGCGAAGGGGGGACGGAGAAGGCUAUGUUGGCCGGGCGACGGUUGUCCCGGUUUAAGCGUGUAGGUGUGUGUUCCAGGUAAAUCCGGUUCACUUUAACACUGAGGCGUGACGACGAGGCACUACGGUGCUGAAGCAACAAAUGCCCUGCUUCCAGGAAAAGCCUCUAAGCAUCAGGUAACACGAAAUCGUACCCCAAACCGACACAGGUGGUCAGGUAGAGAAUACCAAGGCGCUUGAGAGAACUCGGGUGAAGGAACUAGGCAAAAUGGUGCCGUAACUUCGGGAGAAGGCACGCUGACACGUAGGUGAAGUGAUUUACUCAUGGAGCUGAAGUCAGUCGAAGAUACCAGCUGGCUGCAACUGUUUAUUAAAAACACAGCACUGUGCAAACACGAAAGUGGACGUAUACGGUGUGACGCCUGCCCGGUGCCGGAAGGUUAAUUGAUGGGGUCAGCGUAAGCGAAGCUCCUGAUCGAAGCCCCGGUAAACGGCGGCCGUAACUAUAACGGUCCUAAGGUAGCGAAAUUCCUUGUCGGGUAAGUUCCGACCUGCACGAAUGGCGUAAUGAUGGCCAGGCUGUCUCCACCCGAGACUCAGUGAAAUUGAACUCGCUGUGAAGAUGCAGUGUACCCGCGGCAAGACGGAAAGACCCCGUGAACCUUUACUAUAGCUUGACACUGAACAUUGAGCCUUGAUGUGUAGGAUAGGUGGGAGGCUUUGAAGUGUGGACGCCAGUCUGCAUGGAGCCGACCUUGAAAUACCACCCUUUAAUGUUUGAUGUUCUAACGUGGACCCGUAAUCCGGGUUGCGGACAGUGUCUGGUGGGUAGUUUGACUGGGGCGGUCUCCUCCUAAAGAGUAACGGAGGAGCACGAAGGUUGGCUAAUCCUGGUCGGACAUCAGGAGGUUAGUGCAAUGGCAUAAGCCAGCUUGACUGCGAGCGUGACGGCGCGAGCAGGUGCGAAAGCAGGUCAUAGUGAUCCGGUGGUUCUGAAUGGAAGGGCCAUCGCUCAACGGAUAAAAGGUACUCCGGGGAUAACAGGCUGAUACCGCCCAAGAGUUCAUAUCGACGGCGGUGUUUGGCACCUCGAUGUCGGCUCAUCACAUCCUGGGGCUGAAGUAGGUCCCAAGGGUAUGGCUGUUCGCCAUUUAAAGUGGUACGCGAGCUGGGUUUAGAACGUCGUGAGACAGUUCGGUCCCUAUCUGCCGUGGGCGCUGGAGAACUGAGGGGGGCUGCUCCUAGUACGAGAGGACCGGAGUGGACGCAUCACUGGUGUUCGGGUUGUCAUGCCAAUGGCACUGCCCGGUAGCUAAAUGCGGAAGAGAUAAGUGCUGAAAGCAUCUAAGCACGAAACUUGCCCCGAGAUGAGUUCUCCCUGAGACUUAGAGUCUCCUGAAGGAACGUUGAAGACGACGACGUUGAUAGGCCGGGUGUGUAAGCGCAGCGAUGCGUUGAGCUAACCGGUACUAAUGAACCGUGAGGCUUAACCUUACAACGCCGAAG
rnacentral:rRNA from 1 species